GACGAACGCUGGCGGCGUGCUUAACACAUGCAAGUCGAACGGUGAACGAGGGAGCUUGCUCCCUCCGGAUCAGUGGCGAACGGGUGAGUAACACGUGAGCAAUCUGCCCCGAACUCUGGGAUAAGCGUUGGAAACGACGUCUAAUACCGGAUACGACGCGGGAGGGCAUCCUCUCCGCGUGGAAAGAACUUCGGUUCGGGAUGAGCUCGCGGCCUAUCAGCUUGUUGGUGAGGUAACGGCUCACCAAGGCGACGACGGGUAGCCGGCCUGAGAGGGUGACCGGCCACCCUGGGACUGAGACACGGCCCAGACUCCUACGGGAGGCAGCAGUGGGGAAUAUUGCACAAUGGGCGCAAGCCUGAUGCAGCAACGCCGCGUGAGGGACGACGGCCUUCGGGUUGUAAACCUCUUUUAGCAGGGAAGAAGCGAAAGUGACGGUACCUGCAGAAAAAGCACCGGCUAACUACGUG
rnacentral:rRNA from 1 species